AAAGAGAACACGAGUAGAGACGAUAAAAGAACACGAGUAGAGGAUAAAAGAACACGAGUAGAGGAUAAAAGAACACGAGUAGAGGAUAAAAGAACACGAGUAGAGGAUAGAGAAACACGAGUAGAGGAUAAAAGAACACGAGUAGAGGAUAAAAGAACACGAGUAGAGGAUAAAAGAACACGAGUAGACGAUAAAAGAACACGAGUAGAGACGAUAAAAGAACACGAGUAGAGGAUAAAAGAACACGAGUAGAGGAUAAAAGAACACGAGUAGAGGAUAAAAGAACACGAGUAGAGGAUAAAAGAACACGAGUAGAGGAUAAAAGAACACGAGUAGAGGAUAAAAGAACACGAGUAGAGGAUAAAAGAACACGAGUAGAGGAUAAAAA
ensembl:lncRNA